GACCGUUCUGGCGAGGAGCAAAGCUGAAUACUGGCUCCCUGGCCUUGUGCGCCGCUCCUCCCCGCCCGCACUCGCGCGCCUGCCCCGCGCUCCUUUGUCGCCCGCGCCUGCCGAGCGCAAUCCUCCUAGAAGACUUGCUUUUAGCUUUCAUUUCCGGAUUUUCCCCUCUUAGAGUUACCUUUUAAGCCCAGAUGUCUCGUGUUUGCACAUCAUGCCGGAAGCAGGCAUACAGAUCAAUAUUUUUGGGCUAAGAGGUCAUCUGCCACAGUGAAGGCGGAAAAAAAAAAAGAGCCCAGUUAAAGGAGGCGAAGGCAGGGAGGAGAGAAACGGCCAGGGUAAGCCAGAUGCAGGAUAGCGUCAGGAACAAGUGACCGUUAUCAUGUGCGAACAAAACAACUCUACUCUUCCAGUUCAGAAUCUACAAAAAAGUAUCUUCCAUCUAGGCUUGUCCUAAGCACAGAGGAGAGAAAGUACCCGUUCAAGAAGAAAGCCGGAUCGGCAAGUUUGGCUCCCGAGCGUGUGAACUAUGAAUCACCACGCCCCAGACACCCAACAGUAUCAUUACAGGAAAGAGACAAAACCCCAAAGACUAGAGGCAAGGAGGCGUCUAGUUUGAGGUGAAUGGAGAGUUCCUCCUGGCGUUGGACUUUUCGGUGUUACCGAAGUGUACGUUACUGGUGAAACAACAAAACAAGCAUAGAGCUGCAAUUUUCAAGAAAAUAGGAUCUCCAAAUAUAAAAAUAAAAA
ensembl:lncRNA